CAGUAGCCGCGGGAAUACGAAGGGUGCAAGCGUUAAUCGGAAUUAUUGGGCGUAAGGGCUCGCAGGCGGUUUCUUAAGUCUGAUGUGAAAGCCCCCGGCUCAACCGGGGAGGGUCAUUGGAAACUGGGAAACUUGAGUGCAGAAGAGGAGAGUGGAAUUCCACGUGUAGCGGUGAAAUGCGUAGAGAUGUGGAGGAACACCAGUGGCGAAGGCGACUCUCUGGUCUGUAACUGACGCUGAGGAGCGAAAGCGUGGGGAGCGAACAGGAUUAGAUACCCGCGUAGUCCCUGUCUCUUAUACA
rnacentral:rRNA from 1 species